GUGGUGAAGCGCUUCAAGCGUGAGAGAAGAACAUCCGGUUCUUUUCUCUUCUGUCCGCACAAUCUGUUUCGCUGAUCCUCAGCAAGCCCCCAUGUGGGCGAGGAUGAGCGCUGCUGUCUGACAUUGUGAAUCUGGGCGUUUUCGAUUUGCUGGCCGCAAGGCUGGCGGGUCGUGACAAUCAAGCUUUCGGGCUUGAGAGGACACGAUCAUCGGGUGCUGACCGCACCGGUGUCGAAAAUGUCGAAGCUGGUCUUUA
rnacentral:rRNA from 1 species